GCGGGUAUAGUUUAGUGGUAAAACCUAG
rnacentral:tRNA from 1 species